CUUAUCCUUACACCCUUGUUAUGAAAUCGAUUUCCCAAUCGAUUUACUCAGUGAAUAAUCAACUUUUGUUGAUUUCUUGUGUUCCAAGCAAUUUGUUCCAAGUGUGUAGGAUUGGAUUGUUGUUCCUGAAAUCUUGCUCAAUUCAAAUAUUAGAUUUAUCAUGUGAUGUAUGAACAUUGUAUGUUUGUUAAUUAUGUCAAAAUUAGGAUUCAAA
rnacentral:lncRNA from 1 species